GGCGAUUGGUGUAGAAAUUUACACGGGGUCAAAAAGAAAUUGAAACCACAGAAAGCUCUCAAAGAAUAUGAGCUGCCCAAUGCUUGAAGUUGUGUAAGGAGCAACUACUUUGCUGAAAAUCAGGUGUUGUAGAUUGUACACCGAAGUUUGAAGAUGCAUAAGGAGCAAACAAGCUGUUUCAUUUACCAGAUUACAAACAAGAGCUUCUAAAUGCUCAUUAGACUCCAGAAAAUUUCCCUAAGUUUUUCCUUUCAAUUGGCUGCAGCACUCAUUUUUGUAUUUUCGUGAAAUUCUGAUGAGGUUGAGAACAGGUU